AGCAGCCGCGGUAAUUCCAGCUCCAAUAGCGUAUAUUAAAGUUGUUGCAGUUAAAAAGCUCGUAGUUGAAUUUCGGGAUUGACGUGAUGGUCAUGCCUUAAGGGGUAUGAACUGUUACUGUUGAUUUCUCACCUUCUGGAGAAACUUGAUGUCCUUUAUUGGGUGUCUUGCGGAUCCAGGACCUUUACCUUGAAAAAAUUAGAGUGUUUAAAGCAGGCAUUUUUGCUCGAAUACAUUAGCAUGGAAUAAUAGAAUAGGACGGCAUGGUUCUAUUUUGUUGGUUUCUAGGAUCACCGUAAUGAUUAAUAGGGAUAGUUGGGGGCAUUAGUAUUCAAUUGUCAGAGGUGAAAUUCUUGGAUUAUUGAAGACUAACUACUGCGAAAGCAUUUGCCAAGGAUGUUUUCAUUAAUCAAGAACGAAGUUAGGGGAUCGAAGACGAUCAGAUAUCGUCGUAGUCUUAACCAUAAACUAUGCCGACUAGGAAUCAGACGAUGUUAAUUUUUUCAAUGACUCGUUUGGC
rnacentral:rRNA from 1 species